GAUGAAGAACGCAGCGAAAUGCGAUAAGUAGUGUGAAUUGCAGAAUUCAGUGAAUCAUCGAAUCUUUGAACGCACAUUGCGCCCCCUGGCAUUCCGGGGGGCAUGCCUGUUCGAGCGUCAUUACAACCCUCAAGCUCUGCUUGGUAUUGGGCUCUGCCGGUCCCGGCAGGCCUUAAAAUCAGUGGCGGCGCCACUCGGCUUCAAGCGUAGUAAUUCUUCUCGCUUCGGAGACCCGGGUGCGUGCUAGCCAGCAACCCCCAACUUUCUCAGGUUGACCUCGGAUCAGGUAGGGAUACCCGCUGAACUUAAGCAUAUCAAUAAGCGGAGGA
rnacentral:misc_RNA from 1 species